UCAGAACACAGCAGUUCCACACCACC
rnacentral:misc_RNA from 1 species